GCACAAGCAGCGGAGCGUGUGGUUUAAUUCGAUGCAACACGAAAACCUUACCAAGGUUUGACAUGUCGGAAGUAGUGAACCGAAGGGAACGACCUGUUAAGUCAGGAGCCGUCACAGGUGCUGCAUGGCUGUCGUCAGCUCGUGCCGUGAGGUGUAUGGUUAAGUCCUGCAACGAGCGCAACCCUCGCUGUGUGUUAUAUGUGUCACACGGGACUGCCGGUCUUAAGCCGGAGGAAGGUGGGGAUGAUGUCAAGUCAGCAUGGCCUUUAUAUCCUGGGCUACACACACGCUACAAUGGCCAACACAAUAGGUUGCUAAGCCGCGAGGUGGCGCCAAUCCAUAAAGUUGGUCUCAGUUCAGAUUGUAGGCUGCAACCCGCCUGCAUGAAGAUGGAGUUGCUAGUAACCGCAGGUCAGCUAUACUGCGGUGAAUACGUUCCCGGGGCUU
rnacentral:rRNA from 1 species